AUUCUUCCUUUCCUCCUGCAGCCCUCAACUGGUUGCAAUAACAUCUUAAGUAUGCCACGGGAUCACCGUGUCCUGCAUACUUCUCGAACUUAGGCAUCUUAAAAUCGGGGGGAAGGUUGAUGUCUAGAAACAUGCAAAGAUCUUUAUAGGAAACAUUUCUAUAAUCUCUGAUUCCUUGUAAAUUCCUCAUAGCCUAUUCUAGACUUUUCAAUUUCCGGGCUAUGAUAUCCUGUUCCUCGGUUGUGACAGGUUUCUCCGUAUCAAAUGGAAAUGCAGGCGGCUGAGUGUACCUAUACGGUUCAUUCAUUUGCAAAGUAGGCUCCGGGGCAUAAUACUGACUAUCUGAAACCUUCAGUACUGGCUCACUGGUAGACCUAGGAAGCCUCAUUGUGGGACGCACAACAUAUAUGGGAGUUUCAUAUGGUGGCGGAGCCACGAAUGCCGGUGUGAUCGGUGGCGCUGGCUGAGUAGCGAGUCUUGAUUGAGGAGCUGCCAAGGGCACACUAGAACUUCCAGGAUAAUAAUGUCGCGGAGUGAAUCCUGGCGGGUGCUCAAGUGACUCAGUAGGAGCAGAGAAUUGCGCCU
rnacentral:lncRNA from 1 species